GACAUUUUAUUAACAGUAAAUUCCCCCUGGCCCUUCUUUACCUUUUUGUGCCAUAUAUAGUAACAUUCCUGAACUCUUGUCAGGAAAAUUUCUUCCAAGCAAGGAUUGACAAAGGUGUAAUCAAUAAGAACGAUCUUGGCCUUUAUGUUUUUGCUUCAAAGCCAUCAAGUGGAGCUGCUAUUUUCAAGAUUUAACAUCCGCCAAUUGUUUGCUCUUUGGCACAUUGUCAGAUCUUGUUUUAUUUGUCUGAGAAGACUCUGAUUUAGUUUAACAGAAUAAAAUUCUAUGCUAUGCUGCAUUCCCCUGGCCCUUCUUUACCUCUUUGUGUCAUAUAUAGUAACAUUCCUGAACUCUUGUCAGGAAAAUUUCUUCCAAGCAAGGAUUGACAAAGGUGUAAUCAAUAAGAAUGAUCUUGGCCUUUAUGUUUUUGCUUCAAAGCCAUCAAGUGGAGCUGCUAUUUUCAAGAUUUAACAUCCGCCAAUUGUUUGCUCUUUGGCACAUUGUCAGAUCUUGUUUUAUUUGUCUGAGAAGACUCUGAUUUAGUUUAACAGAAUAAAAUUUUAUGCUGCUUUCCCCUGGUCCUUCUUUACCUUUUUGUGCCAUAUAUAGUAUUCUUUACCUUUUUGUGUCAUAUAUAGUAACAUUCCUGAACUCUUGUCAGGAAAAUUUCUUCCAAGCAAGGAUUGACAAAGGUGUAAUCAAUAAGAACGAUCUUGGCCUUUAUGUUUUUGCUUCAAAGCCAUCAAGUGGAGCUGCUAUUUUCAAAAUUUAACAUCCGCCAUUUGUUUGCUCUUUGGCACAUUGUCAGAUCUUAUUUUAUUUGUCUGAGAAGACUCUGAUUUAGUUUAAUAGAAUAAAAUUCUAUGCUGCGUCCUCUUGGCCCUUCUUUACCUUUUUGUGCCAUAUGUAGUAACAUUCCUGAACUCUUGUCAGGAAAAUUUCUUCCAAGCAAGGAUUGACAAAGGUGUAAUCAAUAAGAAUGAUCUUGGCCUUUAUGUUUUUGCUUCAAAGCCAUCAAGUGGAGCUGCUAUUUUCAAGAUUUAACAUCCGCCAAUUGUUUGCUCUUUGGCACAUUGUCAGAUCUUGUUUUAUUUGUCUGAGAAGACUCUGAUUUAAUUUAACAGAAUAAAAUUCUAUGCUGUGUCCCCCUGGCCCUUCUUUACCUUUUUGUGCCAUAUAUAGUAACAUUCCUGAACUCGUGUCAGAAAAAUUUCUUCCAAGCAAGGAUUGACAAAGGUGUAAUCAAUAAGAACGAUCUUGGCCUUUAUGUUUUUGCUUCAAAGCCAUCAAGUGGAGCUGCUAUUUUCAAGAUUUAACAUCCGCCACUUGUUUGCUCUUUGGCACAUUGUCAGAUCUUGUUUUAUUUGUAUGAGAAUACUCUGAUUUAGUUUAACAAAAUAAAAUUCUAUGCUGCGUCCCCUGGCCCUUCUUUACCUUUUUGUGCCAUAUAUAGUAACAUUCCUGAACUCUUGUCAGGAAAAUUUCUUCCAAGCAAGGAUUGACAAAGGUGUAAUCAAUAAGAACGAUCUUGGCUUUUAUGUUUUUGCUUCAAAGCCAUCAAGUGGAGCUGCUAUUUUCAAGAUUUAACAUCCGCCAAUUGUUUGCUCUUUGGCACAUUGUCAGAUCUUGUUUUAUUUGUCUGAGAAGACUCUGAUUUAGUUUAACAGAAUAAAAUUCUAUGCUGCGUUGUAAGUAACUUUUCCAAAUUAAAUACUCAUUUAAUUCGGCAAAAAUAAAUUAACUAUCAUCUUUUUAUCUGUCCUAA
rnacentral:lncRNA from 1 species